AAGCAGUUUCUCGUCAGCGGAAUGAGGGAGCCUUCUGCUCGCCUGGUAAAGAGAUGCAACACCUGGGGAACCCCUUAUUCAAACAAAAAUCUCAAGUGGGACUGAAGUGGAGCCACUUGGCUGAGGAGGAGAGGACCCUGCACCGGACACUGCUUGCCAAGAGACACCACCUGGCAUCCAAAUGGAAUUUCUGCCCACCUGCUCCUACUCCACUGGCAGCCUUUUGCAUUUUUUUUUUACUGGGAUAAAAUUCGCAUACUAUAAAAUUUGCCAUAUUACAGUGUAAAUUUCAGUGGUUUUUAGUGUAUUCACAAGGUUGUGCAAUCAUCCCCACUAAUUCCAGCACAUUUUCAUCAUCCAAAAAGAAACCCUGUAUCUGUUAGGAGUCACUCCCCCUUCCUUCCUCUUCUCAGCCCCUGGAAACCACUAAUUUACUUCCUGUCUAUGUAUUUACCUGUUCUGGACAUUGCAUAUAAAUGGAACCACACAAUAUGUGCGUUUUUGAAUCUAGUUUCUUUCACAUACCAUAGUGUUUUCAAGGUUUAUCCAUGUAUCAGUACUUCAUUGCUUUUAAGGCAAACCUGUAUUUCAAAGAACCUUUCUCUGCAGCAGAUUUUGCACAAUUACACUUGAAAAUUGGCAGCUCAACUUUUUUGUUAGCUUUUUUGGCAGCUCAAUAGGAAAGUUCAACUUUUUUCCCCCACAUAAACUGCUCGCUUAUUAGCAUCGGUACUGCAGCAUAACAGCUUCCAAGAGAUAUGCUGAGCUGCACGGAUGUGGCAGAAUGAGGCAAGGCUCAGGUGCAUGGAUGGUGGGCUGUUUCUUCCACCUUUUCUUGUAGCAGUCCCACUUGGCUGAGAAGCCCUGGAUCGGGCUGACCUUCAUGCUGAGCAUCCGAAAACAACAUUUUAAGCAUGGUCGUACUGGAAAUUUUGGCAAGACUUUUACUCAGUACCUAGAUGUGUAUAAAUGUACAUAAGACAAACCUAGUAAGCAUGACCUGGGGAAAUGGUCAGAAGUUGUAUUGUGUUUUUGGCCUUGAGAGUAACAAGCGACUAGAAUCUGCCAUGGCAGCAGGCUUUAAAAAGACCCUUAAAAAGACACCGUCUCGACUGUGGUGUAGCACCAGCCAGUUCUCUGUACAUUUGCUAGCUUGUAGUUUUCUAAGACUGAGUAAACUUCUUAUUUUUAGAAAGUGGAGGUCAGGUUUGUAACUUUCCUUGUACUUAAUUGGGUAAUGGUCUUUUCCACAAACCACUAUCUACUUUGUGAACUGUUAGUCAUCUUUUAUUUGGUAAAUUAUGAAGUGGUAUAAAUUUGUACAGUUCAUGUAUAUUGAUUGUGGCAAAGUUGGAAAGAUUUCUGUAUUUUGGAUGGGAAAUUUUUCUUCUCUUUAUAAUAAAUUGUUUCUUAUCUUGGCAUUAAAAAAUA